rnacentral:tRNA from 1 species
GCCGCCUCCGUGGUCUAGUGGUAGAGCGUUCGCCUGGAGAGCGGAAGGUCCGGGGUUCGAUCCCCGGCGGCGGCA